UUGCACAUGCACAUCUGAUGCUGUAGAGAUACGGGUGGUGCCUGGCUUGCCAGGAGCGACGAGACAGGUGCUGCAUGGCUGGCGAGCAUCUCGCUCGGCGAGAGGUGGUGGUAUAAGCCCCAGCAGCGAGCGCAACCCCUAUUUAUU
rnacentral:rRNA from 1 species